UACAGAGGUCUCGAGCGUUAAUCGGAAUCAUUGGGCUUAAAGAGUUCGUAGGCGGGUAUGCAGGCAUUGUGUGAAAUCCCUCGGCUCAACCGGGGAACCGCACAGUGAACCGCAUGUCUUGAGGUAAGCAGAGGUGGUCGGAACGAUAGGUGGAGUGGUGAAAUGCGUUGAUAUCUAUCGGAACGCCGAAGGUGAAGACAGGCCACUGGGCUUAUUCUGACGCUGAGGAACGAAAGCGUGGGUAGCGAACGGG
rnacentral:rRNA from 1 species